GUCUCUUUGUAGCGCAAUGGAUAGCGCAUUGGACUUCCAUAUCCAAAGGUCGUGGAUUUGAAUACCACCUGGAAUG